GCCUGGCUAGCUCAGUCGGUAGAGCAUGAGACUCUUAAUCUCAGGGUUGUGGGUUUGAGCCCUAGUUGGGCG
rnacentral:tRNA from 1 species